rnacentral:rRNA from 1 species
AUGCCCUUUGGGCUCAAGUGUGCGCAGGCGACUUACCAAUGUUGUGUACAGAAUUGUCUCCAUAAACAGAUCGGGCGCAAUGUUCACGCUUACGUGGACGAUAUUGUGGUUAAGUCCAUCAGGGAGGAAACCCUGAUAGAUGACUUAAGGGAAACCUUCGAUAAUCUUCGGGUCUACAAGAUGAUGCUUAACCCGGCCAAAUGUGUUUUUGGUGUUCCUGCGGGCAAGCUAUUGGGCUUCUUGGUUUCUGACAGAGGAAUUGAAGCUAACCCGGAGAAGAUCAAAGCUAUCACUUCUCUAGCUAAGCCGGCAUGUAGAAAUGAUGUUCAGCGUUUGGCAGGUCGCAUCGCUGCUUUAAGCCGGUUCAUAAGCCGCUUGGGUGAGAAGGCUAUGCCCUUAUAUCAGUUGAUGAAGAAAACGGAUAACUUUGUCUGGAAUGAUGCAGCUAAUACCGCCUUCGAGGAUUUGAAAAAGCAACUGGCAGAGCCCCCCGUCCUUGCUGCUCCGGUUGAUAAGGAGCCCUUGCUACUGUAUGUGGCGGCAAACACAUGA